UCUCCGUUGGUGAACCAGCGGAGGGAUCAUUAUCGAGUUUACAACUCCCAAACCCUUAUGUGAACAUACCUACUGUUGCUUCGGCGGACUCGCCCCGGCGUCCGGACGGCCUCGCGCCGCCCGCGGCCCGGACCCAGGCGGCCGCCGGAGACCCCCAAACUCUGUAUUAUCAGCAUUUUCUGAAUCCGCCGCAAGGCAAAACAAAUGAAUCAAAACUUUCAACAACGGAUCUCUUGGUUCUGGCAUCGAUGAAGAACGCAGCGAAAUGCGAUAAGUAAUGUGAAUUGCAGAAUUCAGUGAAUCAUCGAAUCUUUGAACGCACAUUGCGCCCGCCAGCAUUCUGGCGGGCAUGCCUGUUCGAGCGUCAUUUCAACCCUCGACUUCCCUUUGGGGAAAUCGGCGUUGGGGAACGGCAGCAUACCGCCGGCCCCGAAAUGAAGUGGCGGCCCGUCCGCGGCGACCUCUGCGUAGUAAUCCAACUCGCACCGGAACCCCGACGUGGCCACGCCGUAAAACACCCAACUUCUGAACGUUGACCUCGGAUCAGGUAGGAAUACCCGCUGAACUUAAGCAUAUCAAUAAGCGGAGGAAAAGAAACCAACAGGGAUUGCCCCAGUAACGGCGAGUGAAGCGGCAACAGCUCAAAUUUGAAAUCUGGCCCUUGGGUCCGAGUUGUAAUUUGUAGAGGAUGCUUUUGGCGAGGUGCCUUCCGAGUUCCCUGGAACGGGACGCCAUAGAGGGUGAGAGCCCCGUCUGGUCGGACACCGAGCCUCUGUAAAGCUCCUUCGACGAGUCGAGUAGUUUGGGAAUGCUGCUCAAAAUGGGAGGUAUAUGUCUUCUAAAGCUAAAUAUUGGCCAGAGACCGAUAGCGCACAAGUAGAGUGAUCGAAAGAUGAAAAGCACUUUGAAAAGAGGGUUAAAAAGUACGUGAAAUUGUUGAAAGGGAAGCGCCUAUGACCAGACUUGGGCCCGGUGAAUCAUCCAGCGUUCUCGCUGGUGCACUUUGCCGGGCACAGGCCAGCAUCAGUUUGGCGCGGGGGAAAAAGGCUUUGGGAAUGUGGCUCCCUCGGGAGUGUUAUAGCCCAUUGUGUAAUACCCUGCGCCGGACUGAGGUACGCGCAUUGCAAGGAUGCUGGCGUAAUGGUCAUCAGCGAC
rnacentral:sRNA from 1 species